rnacentral:misc_RNA from 1 species
GAUGAAGAACGCAGUGAACUGCGAUAAGUAAUGUGAAUUGCAGAAUUCAGUGAAUCAUCGAGUCUUUGAACGCACAUUGCGCCCCCUGGCAUUCCGGGGGGCAUGCCUGUCCGAGCGUCAUUGCUGCCCUUCAAGCCCGGCUUGUGUGUUGGGUCGUCGUCCCCCCCGGGGGACGGGCCCGAAAGGCAGCGGCGGCACCGCGUCCGGUCCUCGAGCGUAUGGGGCUUUGUCACCCGCUCGAUUAGGGCCGGCCGGGCGCAAGCCGGCGUCUCCAACCUUCUAUUUUACCAGGUUGACCUCGGAUCAGGUAGGGAUACCCGCUGAACUUAAGCAUAUCAAUAAGCGGAGGA